CAUAAGAAGAAGAAAAAAUCAAGUGUAGGUUUAGGCUUUAUGUUGAAUCUAGGGUUUUCAGUGACUCCUAGAAUAUCUAGGUCCACCACUACGUUGCUAUCAAAGAAGAAACAGUAGGCCUAAUCUUCAGUUCUAGAAUUUUGUUGCUACACACAGACACACAAUUUCAUGGCCUAAGGCUUCAGGAUAAGAACUGGGAGUCUGUACCUUGAGUAUUCGCGCUAUGUUGCCAGAAAGCAAGACAAGACGUGGAUAAGCAAGUAAAGAGUAAAAAGAUAGAGGAAAAAGAGAUCAAUUACCUGGCUUUGUGCCCUUGUGCUCUGCUCUGCCCUGCCCUGCCAAUUAAUGGUGUUGGGAUCAAGGUCCAGCUGCCGAGCAGUCAGGAGAUAUCACCAUUUAGAAGAGUUUUCUUCAGGAAUUUCAAAUACUGGAGUUCCCUUCAGCGAUUUUUGCACUGUCGAAGCUUUUUUGUUUUUAUUAUUCUCCUCCUUUGGAGUCUUAACUUGCUGUUAGCGCCUUUGCAUCUGCUCAUUUUCCUCCUCUGGGACACAGUGGAUGCUUGUAAAGUGUGAGAUCUAGAAGCUGAGCUGAAACAUUGCAUAUCUUUGAGGCAGAAAAAAUAGGCUGAUAGGCUCCAAUUCUAUCAUGAACUCCUUCCGUGGAUGAUGAGGCAAGGGCAAGAAACCACACGACCAAAGAUGACAAAUGGAUCAUCGGAUCUGUUCUCUAUACCUGACGAUGAAUUCACUGAGUUGGUAUGGGAGAAUGGACAAAUUUUGAUGCAGAACCAGUCCAAUAAAGGUAGGAAGAGCUCUUGUGUAAGUAGUGGCUUCUCCCCCCGGUAUGGUACGGUACAAGAAAAGGAGAGCAGGGAAAAAGUUGGUAGUGGGCAUCCACCUUCAAGACAUUCUGCCAACAAUGGAGUGAAUGCUCAGGAUGAUGAUGUUGUGUCAUGGAUCAGUUAUCCGAUCGAGGAAAUUUUGCCAAGUGAGACUCUCCAGAAUGAUUAUUGUGCUGAGUUCUUGAAUGAGUUCUCGGCAUUUGAUGUGAAUCCUCUUUCAACGCACAGGAGUAAUGUUGCUGGAACCGGACGAACAGCCGGGUUAGGGCAAGAAGUUAGAAGCUCAAACAAUGUGGAACAUGGCCAUGUUGCUAAACCGCCUAAUUGGAGUAGUUUGGGCUCAAGCAGAAUCAGGGCCAGCCAUCUACAGCAAUGUCCAGCGUCAGCUCUUAAUUCAAAGUUGACAGUAGUUGACAUCAGAAGUAGUGAUGAUAAUGUAGCUCAAGAACCACAAUGCCAGGAUGUGAUGGACAGAAAGUUUCAGAAUCAGGAACUAGCAAGUUGCAAGCAGAUGCAACAACAAGGCGGUAUGGGAACUCUGAUGAACUUCUCACAUUUCAUAAGACCUGCUGCACUUGCCAAGGUUGGCCUCCAUAAUGCUACUGGACUGCAAAACAUUGAGAAAGCGUCGACUCCAAGCAGAAAUCCUGUCACCUUGACACUUGUUGAGAGAACUAGAGGUAGUAAGGAGGCUAAUAAGGUACAAGGGCAAUCAGGCUCAGGUCCACACAGGUUGGAAUUCGGAUCAACCAUGAAGAUUCUUCAAGGCAGAAACUCUGUUGAAUUUUCCAAUAAAAUUAGCGCGGGAGAUACUCUGAGGAACAAUACUGAGAAGCACACUAAAUUGCUAGAUGAUCUUCCAAGUUCGAGCUUUGCAGCCAGUGUGGCCUUGUGUAGGCAUGACAUCAGAAAAGAUCCUGAAGCAGUAAUACCAUCUUCAUCUGUGUGUUCAGAGAAUAUCACUGGAGCUGCAUCUAAUGAACCAAACCAUGGCAAGAAGAGAAAAGAAUAUGAUGCAGAAGAUUCUGAUUACCUCAGCCACAGCGAAGAUCUCCAAGAUGAAUCCAUCAAUAUAAGAAAACCGCCAAGUGGACGUGAUGCAAGAACAAAGAGAAGUCGGACUGCAGAAGUUCAUAACUUGUCAGAAAGACGGAGAAGGAACAGGAUUAAUGAGAAAAUGCGUGCACUGCAAGAACUUAUCCCCAACUGUAACAAGGUGGACAAAGCUUCAAUGCUUGAAGAGGCCAUUGAGUAUCUUAAAACACUUCAGAUGCAAGUUCAGCAAUUCUGUCAUACAAAACAGAUCAUGUCCAUGGGAAGCAGGCUGUACCUGCCACCCACUAUGAUGUUUCCACCAGCAAUGCAGCACAUGCGUGGACCAAUGGCCACUCAUUUCCCUCCAAUAGGUGUUGGAAUGGGGUCAGGCAUGGGAUUAGCCCCAGGUUGUCCCAUGAUUCCAAUUUCACCUAUGCAUGCAUCACAAUUUCUUUGCACUUCAAGUUCAGGGAUACCUGGCUUGAAUGGAGUACCAGGACCUGUAAAUCCUUCGAUAUUUGGAAUACAAGGUCAGGGAUUUCCAGUUUUGAUGCCCAGACCACAGCAGUUUGGUACAUUGGCAGGGUUUUCUUUGAAUACAAAUGCCGAGCCUGAGGUACAUACAGACAAUGCUGUUGGAGUUGCUAGUGACCAGCAAAAGCAGCAGAACUUGAAUGUAGAACCAAGCACAAGUACAGAUGAAACACAUAUGCAGGUAUCCACCCAGAUUCAUGAUUGUCGCGUGCACCUAUUUAUUUAAUCCAGAUACAUCAUGCUCGAUAGAUCUCAUCUCACUUAGCAUCACAUUAUUAGCUUUAACAAACCAAUCAUGCUUGAUUCUUGUUUCCAUAUAUCAACCAUUUCCAUUGGUUAAUGGCAGCGACAAAACACCACAUGUCUAUGUAAGUAGAUAGAUGGAGUAUUCAGAUUAUGGUAGAAGAAGGUUCCAGUCAUUAAUCAUUAACAAUGGACACUACUUGUGAAUCUCACAUGGGCACCCCAUGGAAAAGAUGGUGCAUAAAAUUUGCCAGACCUAGUUCUCGAACAAGGUUUGGCAUUGCAGCUCUGGCAAAUGUAGCUUGCUUGCUAGUGAAGCAUCACCUAUAAUUAUGAACCCAACCAAACAAGUUUUCUUCUUUUUGGGGGGUUAAUUUCUUAUGUAAUUGUCUAAGAGAUGUGUUAUCAUUGCUGCCAUCUAGUUUUCUUCCCUAGCAAUACAUCCUCGCUUACUUUUUGUUGUUGUAUGCUUGUUUUUGUGGGUAAUAGAUGAACUUGUUAGUUUA